rnacentral:rRNA from 1 species
GACGAACGCUGGCGGCGUGCUUAACACAUGCGAGUCGAACGGAAAGGCCCUGCUUUUGUGGGGUGCUCGAGUGGCGAACGGGUGAGUAACACGUGAGUAACCUGCCCUUGACUUUGGGAUAACUUCAGGAAACUGGGGCUAAUACCGGAUAGGAGCUCCUGCUGCAUGGUGGGGGUUGGAAAGUUUCGGCGGUUGGGGAUGGACUCGCGGCUUAUCAGCUUGUUGGUGGGGUAGUGGCUUACCAAGGCUUUGACGGGUAGCCGGCCUGAGAGGGUGACCGGCCACAUUGGGACUGAGAUACGGACCAGACUGCUACGGGAGGCAGCAGUGGGGAAUAUUGCACAAUGGGCGGAAGCCUGAUGCAGCAACGCCGCGUGCGGGAUGACGGCCUUCGGGUUGUAAACCGCUUUCGCCUGUGACGAAGCGUGAGUGACGGUAAUGGGUAAAGAAGCACCGGCUAACUACGUG